UUACGGUCAAAUCAUGCUGAAAACAUCGGUUCUCGUUCGAUCACCGAAGUUAAGCAUCGUAGAGCCAGGUCAGUACUUAGAUGGGGGACCGCUUGGGAACACCUGGUACUGUAAGC
rnacentral:rRNA from 1 species